rnacentral:rRNA from 1 species
CAAUGGCACUGCCCGGUAGCUAAAUGCGGAAGAGAUAAGUGCUGAAAGCAUCUAAGCACGAAACUUGCCCCGAGAUGAGUUCUCCCUGAGACUUUAAGUCUCCUGAAGGAACGUUAAAGACUAUGACGUUGAUAGGUCGGGUGUGUAAGCGCAGCGAUGCGUUGAGCUAACCGAUACUAAUGAACCGUGAGGCUUAACCUUACAACGCCGAAGGUGUUU